rnacentral:rRNA from 1 species
GAUUUGAUGCUUGCAUUGAUGAAAGAUGAGCGGCGGACGGGUGAGUAACGCGUGGGUAACCUGCCCUAUACACAUGGAUAACAUACUGAAAAGUUUACUAAUACAUGAUAAUAUAUAUUUACGGCAUCGUAGAUAUAUCAAAGUGUUAGCGGUAUAGGAUGGACCCGCGUCUGAUUAGCUAGUUGGUGAGAUAACUGCCCACCAAGGCGACGAUCAGUAGCCGACCUGAGAGGGUGAUCGGCCACAUUGGAACUGAGACACGGUCCAAACUCCUACGGGAGGCAGCAGUGGGGAAUAUUGCACAAUGGGCGCAAGCCUGAUGCAGCAACGCCGCGUGAACGAUGAAGGUCUUCGGAUCGUAAAGUUCUGUUGCAGGGGAAGAUAAUGACGGUACCCUGUGAGGAAGCCCCGGCUAACUACGUGCCAGCAGCCGCGGUAAUACGUAGGGGGCUAGCGUUAUCCGGAUUUACUGGGCGUAAAGGGUGCGUAGGUGGUCUUUCAAGUCGGUGGUUAAAGGCUACGGCUCAACCGUAGUUAGCCUCCGAAACUGGAAGACUUGAGUGCAGGAGAGGAAAGUGGAAUUCCCAGUGUAGCGGUGAAAUGCGUAGAUAUUGGGAGGAACACCAGUAGCGAAGGCGGCUUUCUGGACUGCAACUGACACUGAGGCACGAAAGCGUGGGUAGCAAACAGGAUUAGAUACCCUGGUAGUCCACGCUGUAAACGAUGAGUCACUAGGUGUCGGGGGUUACCCCCCUCGGUGCCGCAGCUAACGCAUUAAGUACUCCGCCUGGGGAGUACGCACGCAAGUGUG